UUUUAUGAGAGUUUGAUCCUGGCUCAGGACGAACGCUGGCGGCGUGCCUAAUACAUGCAAGUCGAACGCCUCUUUUUCCACCGGAGCUUGCUCCACCGGAAAAAGAGGAGUGGCGAACGGGUGAGUAACACGUGGGUAACCUGCCCAUCAGAAGGGGAUAACACUUGGAAACAGGUGCUAAUACCGUAUAACAAUCA
rnacentral:rRNA from 1 species